UCAGAUAAGCUUACAGGACACUGCUGAGAUUCAACCUCCUUUAUGCAACUGUCUUCUUUAAACCUAGCUGUUCAAAAUCACUGCUCACUGUACACUAAGGCAGUGUGUGUACACUAUUUGCAGACAGGUGUGUAGCCUUUAUUCUGAAUUUCAAUAAUUAAAAAAAGGAC